CCCAGGGCUGGCGCGGAAAGGCCACAGUGGACUUGUUCACGCUGUAUGCCUAACCGCUCAGCCCCUGGG
rnacentral:pre_miRNA from 13 species